UACAGAGGAUGCAAGCGUUAUCCGGAAUGAUUGGGCGUAAAGCGUCUGUAGGUGGCUUUUAAGUCCGCCGUCAAAUCCCAGGGCUCAACUCUGGACAGGCGGUGGAAACUACCAAGCUUGAGUACGGUAGGGGCAGAGGGAAUUUCCGGUGGAGCGGUGAAAUGCGUAGAGACCCGGAGGAACACCAGUGGCGAAGGCGGCAUCCUGGUCUGCGACUGACGCUGAGGCGCGAAAGCGUGGGGAGCAAACAGG
rnacentral:rRNA from 1 species